rnacentral:rRNA from 1 species
UGCCCAAGUUCGAACGGGACUCUUCGGAUUCAGUGGCGGACGGGUGAGUAACGCGUGAGAAUCUGCCUUCAGGUUCGGGACAACCCCUGGAAACGGUGGCUAAUACCGGAUGUGCUAUACAGUAAAAGAUUUAUCGCCUGAAGAUGAGCUCGCGUCUGAUUAGCUAGUUGGUGAGGUAAAAGCUCACCAAGGCGACGAUCAGUAGCUGGUCUGAGAGGAUGACCAGCCACACUGGGACUGAGACACGGCCCAGACUCCUACGGGAGGCAGCAGUGGGGAAUUUUCCGCAAUGGGCGAAAGCCUGACGGAGCAAGACCGCGUGAGGGAGGAAGGCCCUUGGGUUGUAAAGCUCUUUUCUCAGGGAAGAAGAAAGUGACGGUACCUGAGGAAUCAGCCUCGGCUAACUCCGUGCCAGCAGCC